GCAGUAAGGAAUAUUGGUCAAUGGGCGCAAGCCUGAACCAGCCAUGCCGCGUGCAGGAAGACGGCCCUCUGGGUUGUAAACUGCUUUUAUUCGGGAAUAAACCUACUUACGUGUAAGUAGCUGAAUGUACCGAAGGAAUAAGGAUCGGCUAACUCCGUGCCAGCAGCCGCGGUAAUACGGAGGAUCCAAGCGUUAUCCGGAUUUAUUGGGUUUAAAGGGUGCGUAGGCGGCCUGUUAAGUCAGGGGUGAAAGACGGUAGCUCAACUAUCGCAGUGCCCUUGAUACUGAUGGGCUUGAAUGGACUAGAGGUAGGCGGAAUGAGACAAGUAGCGGUGAAAUGCAUAGAUAUGUCUCAGAACACCGAUUGCGAAGGCAGCUUACUAUGGUCUUAUUGACGCUGAGGCACGAAAGCGUGGGGAUCAAACAGGAUUAGA
rnacentral:rRNA from 1 species